ACAUUUGAAAUGCAAAUAAAAAAUACCCAAUUUAAUAGAGAUGGAAAAAAUAAUUAGUAACCUGAAGCCAUUCUCAGAGACUUCCAAUAAGAUCAAGGGGUGGGCAUUACAAGGACUGCUGGGCAGAGUUGUUCAGAGUUCUGAAUAGAAAUCCAGAAACUCUACAGUGCUAAUAGCUGAGAAGAGUUGGGUUCUUUCAAAAUUUCUCAGACAAUAAAAUAAUUGUACACCAGUAGCUUAAAAACUAUUUCAUGUGCACUGUUUGUGAGUUUGCUUCAGAUGGGGCAUAUUUUAAGCCUAGGCUGACCUGUGCUGACAACACUUCACUAUAUCAUCAACCCCACCAUCCAGGGUCAAGGGCAGCCUUGACCCACUUCAUCACCAGGGGCAACUUUCUACCUUGGGGCCUCAGUACAAUCCUCCUUACAUGGGGAGGGAAGUGACUAGAUAACAUAUUCAUUAAAAAUAGAGGGAAUGCUCAUAAUGUAAUUGUUUUCACAUGUAAAUGCAGCUGUUGCUUCUCCAAUUGCAUACUAAAGUCUGUUGAGAUGAUUGCAUGUGGGGGCAGGGAAGAGACCUGUUACCCUGAUGUCUGGAUUUGUAACUAAUAAUUAAUUAUAAAAUAAGAGCAUGAUCCCUUUUUUAGAUUGUUUUUCCUCCUCUUAGCCUGAACCUCUCUCUUUGACUAUGUUUAUUUUUCCCUCUUUACAGAGGGCGGGUGGGCUCCCCGAUGUCUUAGCAUCUAGUUCUAAGUAUGCACUCUGACCCCUGUCGUCAUGACCGGUGCUGCUGCCAUCAGCGUUAUGCUAUUAUCUCCUCCUUUCCAUCAGAAUCCUCAGCACAGCUACUUAGUGAUCACUAAAUAAAGAUAGAGCUGCACAGCACGACUUAAAAAGAUGCAAGGUUGUGAUACGGAAAUAGCAAUUCCAUCAAUUUAAAUGAGAUGGGAACAUUAGUUAAGAGGCUUAUAAUCCUUUAAAAUACCCAGAGUCUGGAAUAAAACUUACUAUUACCAUGACACUGCCAUUCAGAGUGGAGGGGAGACAAAAUGCUAAACAAAACCCACUGAUCUGACAGAUCUGUAAUAAAUAAGUAAAAAGCAAUGUGCUUUUUUAUACAAAUCCCUUUAAAGCAUAUAUUAAAUUAUUAAAGAUGUUUCUAGUGUAUACAUCAAUCCAUUUCAGAAAGAACUCCCAGCUUUACACACACACACACACACACACACACACACACACACACACACACCCAAGAGCUAAAAUCCAAACUGUGAUAAGGUCCCGCAAAGAAAGAUAUCCUCCUCUACAUGGCGGUAGUUGUCCAGGGCCUCCUUGUAUAGCUGUUUCAUUGCACAAAGGGUAUUUAAUCCCUGGUUCACCCUGAGAAACACAUUCACCAUAUUCUCAGAAAGUUUCCAGUCCCCUCUGAAGGUGAAGAUGGCUCAGGCCUCAGAGGAUUGCAGCCAGACUGUGGGUCAAGUGGACCAUGCCACCAGACAGAAGAACUGGGAAGAUCGAAGUAGGCUCAAAACCCCAGGAAAUCACAUAAUUGAGAAUGGCAGGCAUUGAAGCCAGCUCCAGGCCAUGGUCUGCCGGUCCUGGAACAUGUAACCAUGCCACCCCACUAAGAGGACUGUAACAACCGGUCGUGGAGCAUAAAAACCUAGAGUUCUCCAUGCUGAUGAGGUAUCUAGAUAGGCUCUGAGUACUUAACCAAUGAGCUUCCCUUCCUGAGCAUUCUUUCCCACAAAGGGUAUUUAAUCCCUGGUUCACCCUGAGAAAGACAUAUGCAUUCACAUCCGCCAUGAAUAAAGCAGUUUGAACAAACAAAGACCAUCUCCUUCAACAAGAAUCUGCUAAAUCUGGAGAAGGCCUUCUCUCUUCCAGCCCCUCCAUACUCUUGGCACUCAGAACUAAACCAGAUUCUGCCCCAUUCUAGACGCAGCCAUCCUCUUCCUGCCCAGUGCACAGGCAAAGGGCAGACUUGAGGACCAACUUUCUAAACUCUUCGACAUCCCCAGUGGCAUCUGGGCAUGCAGGAGAUUGAGAACCACAAUAUCCAUCCCAGAUCUUACUGUUUCUCACCAGGAAGAACAUGGGCUGGGACCCCUAUCUCAGACUGCAUUCUUCUUUCCUGGAGUGGCCUGCUGGAGGCACUUGACCAUCCCAACAAGGCAGACAUGCAGCCAAUACUGGACCAAGUUCAUACAUUGAGGACCGAGAGAGUAAGCUGGCUGCAACAUAUGUUUGGGUGGCUUCCUCCACUUUUCUUGCCAUUGAGAGUUGUCUGAUAAAAAUCUCUAGUAUAGGGCUGGGGGUAUAGCUCAGUUGGUAAAGCUCUUGCCUAGUGUGCUCAAAACCCUGGUUUCAAACAAUAAAAUUAGAUGUAGUGGAGGGUGUGGUGACAUAUGCUUCUAAUCCCAGCACUUAGGAGGUAGAGGCACAAGGAUCAGAAGUUCAAGGUCAUCCUCAACUACAUAGUAAAUUUGAGGUCAACUUGGAAUAUAUGAAACUUCGUCUCAAAAAACAGAGAGGGAUACAGAGCUUGCACUAUUAUAUGAACAAAAUCAUUUCCUAAGGGUUCACAUAGAACUGUACACUUUUUCUUUCACACAAAGACCAAGAGUGGCUUUUAGAUCAAGAUACUUGGGACAAGAUGCUCAGUGGGUAGAAGUGAUUGCUGCCAAGCCUGAGGACUUAAGUCUCCUGGAAUCCAUACGGUAGGACAUAACUGACUCCCACGAGUGGUUUUCUGAUCCCCACACAUGUACUACAACACAUACACACAAAUAAUUUUAAGAUGUAAUGAAAAAUAGAUUAAGUCAGUAAGUGGCUAAAAUGAAAAGUGGUGUGUGACUUAAGGUCCACUGGGAUGGUUAGGUAUGAAAGACCCCCUCCCAGAAAGAGAAUUGUACAAGCCCAAGGCCCUCAACUAUAGAAAUAAAAAGUAAGUUUUUAGAUAUGUGAGACAAGCUGACCCAUCAUUUAGACGAAACAGACCAGAAAAGAAAACAAAAUACAGAAACCAGACUAAAUUAUGGACACUGCUCCAUGGGCCACCUGGCAGAAAAAAGAAAAAGUCCCUGACCCCCCGGAAGCCCUGACCACCAUGUACUUUUUGCUAACUCACUGUUAUGAUUAUAGCCAAAAUAGGUAACAUACACGUAUGCCUCAUUUACUCCACCAAUCACAUCCCUAUAACCAUGCAUCUGCUUCUGUAAGCCUGUUUCUGCUCCCCAAUGCCCUAUAAAAACCCGUCCCUGGUUCUGCUAGGCGCGCCAGUCUUCCAAAUUGACUGGGACGCCCACAGAUACCUGUGUAUCCUGAUCAAUAAAAAUCCUCUUACAGAUUGCAGCCUGUGGACUCGGUCUGGUCAUUGGGGCUUGAGGAUCUCCCUCCUGAGGGAAGAUUCUCUCUGAGAGUCUUACAUUAUGGGGGCUGGUCCGGGAUCGGAGAUCCUCUGCCCAGAGACCACCGACCACCCACCAGGAGGUAAGCUGGCCAGUGUUUGUCUUGUCCUGUCUUGUCUUGCUUUGUGACUUGUUCUGUAAAUGCUUAGUUACUUGGCUUGGGUCUAGACCGUUUGUAUUUGGGCGGGCCAGAGAAGGAGCUGACGAGCUCGGACUUCUCCCCCGCAGCCCUGGAAGACGUUCCAAGGGUGUUUGGAGCCCGGUUUUUCGGGGCUUAGCCUGUAUCGGAAGGAUACAUGGUUUUGGGUUGGAGGAGAGAGGAGAGAGCCGGAUCCACUAAAUUUUUGGUUUCAGUUUGACACCGAAGCCGCACGGCGCGUCUGUCUGUUGCUUGUUUGACUGUUGAAAUUGUUUGUCUUCUUUGUGUCCUAAUUUUCUUUGAAUAUCUGUGGAAAUUGGUUAUAGGAUGCUUUGUCUUGGUCUUGUUUGUCUGGUUUGUUUUCUGUGGUAUUGUCCAGUGUCUUUUUGGCUUUUGUUUCGUUUUUGGACUUUGGACAGACGACUGUGUUUAAAAUCUUGGACUGACGACUGUGUUUAAAAUCAUGAAACUGUUUGCUUUGUUUGUCAAGGAGUUUUACUUGGUCCUCUUGGUGCUUAACUUGGAAAUAAUUUGCUUGAGAAAAAUUGUUUUAUCUUUCUCUCUUGAGCCUCCUCCCCAAGGAGAGAUGCCCCUCCCUUUGCUCCCCUUGUCCAGUCUUGCUGCUGUUAACAGUUGUGUAUGAAGAACUCCAGGUUAGUGAGUGACCCUGUCUGAAGCAGGUAUUAACAAGAGCCUGAAAGCUUUACCUUAGAUCCUGAAGAAAAAUUCUCCCUGUUGCUUAAACAUUCACAGCUUCUAAGGAAGGGACAACACAGAGUAAAAAAAUGUAGGGGCUGAGGGUGACAAGCAUGCAGGCCUGCUAGCAAGCUGCAGGCUGCGCGUGGGCAGUGGCGCAGCUCUGGCCAAGUCAGCGUAAGAGGAGUUUCAAGGUGAUGAGGCCGGCCAGGGUUGACGCUUUGACAACAAAAAGAUAAUAUAGAGUUAGUGGUUGUUUUAUGAGACUUUUGGCCCUAAAAAAAAUAAUAAUUCCAGUUGCUGCCUUCAGUGACCAGAUCUUCGACACUUGCUCACAGAAGGAAAGCAUUCAUUAAGAGAAGUUCUUUAAGGGAGCCUGCCAUAUUUGCUGGCCCUAUUCCAAGAGAGGAAUUGAUCUCCAACAUUAAGUAACCUUCCCUGUUAGUCAUCAUUGACAUGGAGAGUGCCUUUGAUCCUAUCCCCACAGCAGCCAGUUCCUGCCCCUGUGGUCAAAAUGCCCCAGGUUGGGGGACAGAGAAGCCCCUGAGAUAGUUUCGGAGGGAAUCUACAACAAACUGUGAAGAACUUUGUUUUGCCAGUCAAAAUUUAGAAUUCAAGCUUUGGCUGUGGCCAAGGUCAGUAUUAAUGUUUUCUUUUCCAUGGGCCUUUAGCCCACUGAGACAGUUUGGUAAAGGGCUGCUACUGAGGUCCUGAAAGUCCCAGGUAAACUGGUUACAAUUCUUUUGUCAGCCACUUGGCAUCUAGCACCCAGGUCCUAACCAUCUCUCCAUCCUUUUGUUAUUAGUUCUUAAGUCCAGAGAGAUAGUUGGUAACAGAUCAGCUCCCUCUCUGCUUGCCGUUCUGUUUCACAGACACAAAGCUUGUGCUUAUUUUUACAACGGCCUUUUUGUCCCAAAAAGUCCUCCUGGUUUAGCUGUGUGACUAAAUGCUAUUUGUCCUCUUCAGUGGACCUCUAUUCUCAAGAUUACAGGUCUUCUUUACCACCGAGGAAAGACAGAAUCCUACUAGAGGCCAGAAAGAUAAAUCCAGACAUGGAUAGAAGACCCUCACUCCUGACUGUUGACUUGAAUACCCCUGAAGGUAGGGAGUGCUCCAGGUCUGCCACCAGGCUCCAAGGGUGGGUCUCCGAGGGGCUGGAAAAUGCCCCACCAAUCUGGCUAAGAUAAAGAAAAGAUAUAAAGAGAGAAAGUUACAGAAAUUUAAAGGGUUAAGCUAAGUUGCUGAGGGUUAGUAUAAGUUGCAGAGAAAAUAAAGUUAAAGUGUGGUUAAGUGGACAGCAUCUAAUAGCUGUAGAGGAAGAUACAGAAGAUAUGAGAGACUGAGGAAGAGAAAGAGGAAAGAAGGUAAAAAGAACAGGAAGCUAAGGAAGAAAAGAGACAAAAGGAAAAAGAAGCUAGAGAGCUAAAGAGGGAUAAAAGACAGGAGAGGAAUAUAUACUGGCCACAGUAGUUAGGGAACCUAGGAAGACAGUACCUGGCAACAGAAGAGAAUUCCUAGCUAAAGAUCAGUGUGCCUAUCACAAGGAAAAAAGACACUGGGUCAGGGACUGCCCCAAGAAGAACAAGAGGGGCCUCUCCAGCAGCCCGGAAGGCAAGCCUCUUGGUCCUAGAGUGCUGGCUAUGCGCUAAGAUAGAAGGGAAGCCUGCCCAGUUGUUUUGUGAAUAUGGGGGCCCAACACUCUGUGCUCCUACACCCAAAUGGGCUAGUGUCCAGCAAAAGACCUUGAGUACAGGGGACUACCGACAACAAAUGAUACUCAUGGACUACCCGAAGAACGGUGGAGCUUGGCGUGGGCUGGGUAUCCCACUUGUUCCUUGUGAUUCCAGACUGCCCCUACGAGUCUAAACCCUACAACCCUGCUCCCGGACCCUGACCAAAUUGACCAUGGAGACUGACACAGACUGGGUGACACUCCUUUCCCUCUUGUUCUCUUCAGAGCAAGAAAUACCCCUUCCAGAUUCAGCUUUACCCCCUUUGAGAUCUUAUACGGGGCCUCAGCUCCCCUGAUUGUAUUAGAUGAUGUUACUAAACCAACAUGUCAUAGUAAUAAUGAUUUGUAUGCCAGGCUAAAAGACCUACAGGCGAUACAGAAAGAAAUCUGCUCACAGCUGGCAGCAGCCUAUGCCCCGGAGACCCCUGAGACAUGUCAUCAGUUCCAGGUUAGAGACUACAGCUACACUGAGCCCAGACACUCGAGCCUCGCUAGAAAGGACCGUACCUGGUGCUGCUGACCACCCUGACAGCCGUCAAUUCUCAGCCCUCACCAGCAGCAUACUAGCUGUUGGGGCUGAGAGCUGGGACCUAGAGGGACACUCAGAUCUUCAAAAAGCUCCCUAGACUUAAGUGACUGAGAGGUUGCUAUAAUGCUCACUUGAGGAGUGUGUUUUAGAAACAAGAAUUUCAUGUUUGCCUGUUUGCCCUGGGUUCCCUCGGAAUAGGUGUAAAGAUAGGCUUGAUUUUUAUUGCAAAUGAUGUAACAUUACAUAUGUUAGUACUCCUAACACUUCUUGGGACUGUGCCUCAGAGAUCACAACCUAUAUAAGUUUAGAAGUUCUAAAAGACCUUGGUAUAUAGGUUCAGAUAGUGUCCAGAUUAGAAUCCUGAUGCUAAAGACUUAAUAAGACACAAAAGAGAGUUGAGAAUUAUUUAAGGCUAUCUAGGUGCUACAAGGGCAGCACAAGGACAUCUGCUGUUGCCCUACAAUACAAGGCUUAUAGAGAAUUCAGAACUGCCAUUGACUCAGAUAUAAAAAGAGUAAAAAAGACUUUUUAGCUGACCUCCAAGAACACCUAACCUCCCUCUCAGAGGUAGUCCUUCAAAAUAAGAAAAGAUUAGACCUGAUAUUCCUUAAAGAAAGAGUCUGUGUGCUACACUAAAAAAAAUGUUGUUUCUAUGCAGAUCAGACAGGAAUAGUAAGAGAUACAGACUUUCAGUCAUUCAAACUUUUGUGCUGAGACAACAGUAUCAGAUGAUAAAACAACAACAACAACAAAAAAAAGAAACAGAGGUACCUUAACCAAGUUGAGUGGAAGAUUCCACUCAAAGACAAAAAAAGAAAAUGGGGGAAUGAAAGACCCCCUCCCAGAAAGAGAAUUGUACAAGCCCAAGGCCCUCAACUAUAGAAAUAAAAAGUAAGUUUUUAGAUAUGUGAGACAAGCUGACCUCACUGUUAUGAUUAUAGCCAAAAUAGGUAACAUACACGUAUGCCUCAUUUACUCCACCAAUCACAUCCCUAUAACCAUGCAUCUGCUUCUGUAAGCCUGCUUCUGCUCCCCAAUGCCCUAUAAAAACCCGUCCCUGGUUCUGCUAGGCGCGCCAGUCUUCCAAAUUGACUGGGACGCCCACAGAUACCUGUGUAUCCUGAUCAAUAAAAAUCCUCUUACAGGGAAAAAGAAUACCCUUGGCAGGGAAGGGAGAGGCAAAGAUUAAAACAGAGACUGAAGGAACACCCAUUCAGAGCCUGCCCCACAUGUGGCCCAUACAUAUAGAGCCACCCAAUUAGACAAGAUGGAUGAAGCAAAGAAGUGCAGACCGACAGGAGCCGGAUGUAGAUUGCUCCUGAGAGACACAGCCAGAAUACAGCAAAUACAGAGGCGAACGCCAGCAGCAAACCACUGAACUGAGAAUAGGACCCCCGUUGAAGGAAUCAGAGAAAGAACUGGAAGAGCUUGAAGGGGCCUGAGACCCCAUAUGUACAACAAUGCCAAGCAACCAGAGCUUCCAGGGACUAAGCCAAUACCUAAAGACUAUACAUGGACUGACCCUGGACUCUGACCCCAUAGGUAGCAACGAAUAUCCUAAUUGCAGCCUGUGGACUCGGUCUGGUCAUUGGGGCUUGAGGAUCUCCCUCCUGAGAGAAGAUUCUCUCUGAGAGUCUUACAGGUGAACAUGAUGAUUGCCAAGGUAGAGAAGGAAACAGAGGCAAAGUGUCCCAACUUUCCAGGACCAGAGAUGACAACACCUUUCAACAUCAUAAAAGAAAAAGAAACACAAGUUCUCUCUGAAGACAGCCCUAGAGCUCCCAUCUCUGCUUCUGCCCAGCUUCUCCCUGGUGAUGCCUUUUACAAAUGCAGGCAUUAAAAGCUGACUCCACCCCCUCACUCUAUUACCACUGUGAUCUCUUGGGUAGCAUGAAAUCAGAGAUACACCCUGUUUUCUCACAGUUUCAGACUAAACUGUGUCUCUGGCCUCCCUCUGCAACUCAUAAACUGUUGUAAGCCCCCAGACCUCAGAAAAUGACUAUACUCAGGGAAAGUCUCUAAAGAAGUGACCAAGUCACAGCAAGGAAAUUUGUGGUCCUGAACCCAUGUGACAAGUGUCCCUAAAGAAAGGGGUCAUUACAGAGACAGAGGGAAGUCUGAGUGAAGACAGGGGGACAAUCAUCUGCAAGCCCAAGAGAGAAGCAUCAGGACGUCCUGACCAUUAUCAUCCUGAUCAAAGUCUUGUAGCCCUCAGAACAGAAAGAGAAUAGAUUACUGAUUCUGGCUGCUUGAGCCACUCCCACUGUGGUUCUUUGUGGUAGCAGCCCUCAUCUACUCAGCCACUACCCAAGUACUCCCUUCCCUACACACACACACACACACACACACACACACAUACACACACACACACACACACACACACACACAGAGAGAGAGAGAGAGAGAGAGAGAGAGAGAGAGAGAUCUUUAAUGGAGAAGGAUAAAUGGAGCCUUUUCCCAGAUUGAAAUUUGAUGUGAGGAGAAUCCUCUGAGGACAAAACACACAAAAAACCCUUCUCCCACUCCCCUGUGCAACCAGUAUCCAAGCUGUUCUUAUGUCUGUGCAUGGACAGUGCGUUUUUCCCAUAAUUAGCACAGCUGCCCCAUAACACUGCCUGGCUCGUCCAGGAGGAAUCGCUUACUGCUAGGCCCCCUCUCCAUGUAUUGAUUCCUUUGGGAUUCUCUGACCCUCUAGUUGCAGGUCAUACAAAAUUAGUGAACACAAAUUGCUAACCAAAAAAAAAAAAAAAAAAAGCCUCUCCCUCCCUCCAAAAUACUGGCAUGAAUAUGGAAUGAUGGGAGAAAUGUCAACUCCUCGGUGGAGACCCCUGGAAAUCACUCGAGAGGCCUUCUCUUCUUCAUCUCUAAGCCCACUGUGGCAGACAAGGAUGUUCAUGGUUGUUAAUGAGUAAAGGGGUAACAAUCGCCUUGGGAAAGUACUGAUGAAGAGGAGGGAGACAUACAGCUCUCUCCUGAUGCCUGGUGUCACAUUCUAUGCAUCUCAUAUACAUAAUGGCAUUCAUAUUAACCUUCAACAAUGAUUCGAGAAUAAUACUGUUAUUGUCCUAAUUUGCAGAUACAGAUACAGAAGAAGACAGAAUUCAGUAAAUGUUCCCCACCACUUCCUGAGAUGAAGAGUUUAGAGAGCAAAAUAGAACUCCACUCUGAAGCAGUUACUUGCACAACUUGAGCAUCAGGUUCUGAGUUGGAAGCCUUAGCACUCAGUACCAGCAUUCCCAACCUGACAACAUGCCGCUGGGGGAAACUGAAGAGCUGAAUCAAUGAACACGGAGAGACCAGCUGGGCUCCAUGAGGACUGCAAAGGCAACGUGGAGAUGUGUGCAGAUUUGGUGCUCGCUUUGGAAUAGAAGGCAUUUCUGUACUUCAUGGCAGAGGCAUUGGCAGUGAAAGUACAGAAAUUAUCAUGCUUGUUUUUAUUUCUGUUCCCAUGGAAACUAAAAUCGUCUCCUACCAAGUUGAAUGAGGUAUUUGGAAAUAAUCAGUUUCAAUUUUUCAUGAUAGCUAAGUAUUGCUUUCCUGUUCUCGGCUUACUGGCUUACUUUCAUGGAAGAGGGGGACUGACAUUGUCUGAGGGCACAAAGACCACAGAAAUGAUGAUUAUCUGAAGAGGCAUGAUCCCAAGGCCCAGAUGAGGGUCGAGGCUGAGGCUGCCACUGGCCAGUGCUCACUCACCUCGGCCCUGGAGAGCUCUGAGAGCUCCUGGAGCCAUAUUAAAGUGUAGUUUACUGGAAGUAGCUGGGUAGUGUGGAAUUAUGAAGUCAUUAUUGCUGGGAGAAUAUAGUAAGUUUUCUCAUUUUAAAAGGAAAUGUUGGUUUUCUUUCAUUUUCACGGAAUCCCCUACAGGCUACACUUUAAUGUUUAACACCACUUCUCUCAAUUAAAUGUAAAUCCACAAACACGAAUUCACUAAGAGUCCAGUGUCUGGUGAGCCCACGGAAGGUCAAGGGUCUUGCUUGUCCUCAUUGUGAUGCUAUGUCUGGGAUGCUCACAGCACCAGCAGGAACUUGAUCCACCACACACCUGUGGCUGGAAUACAUCUAAUGCCAAUGAACUCGUGGUUCUAAUUCCUUUCAUUCUCAAAGGCUGAGUGGCCCUGUGCUCAGGCAGGAGACUGGGCCAAUUAUGGAAAAAUCAGAAGCUCCCAAUCACUCCACUGCCCUUCAUGAAGAGUUCUAAGACAGCCAUAAACCAGAAGCCAGCGCCUCUGACUCCUCCUGGGCCAACAGUGUCAGCAGCAUGUGGUGUUUCUGUGGAAGAAUGACUCUCUCUAAUGAGAAUUUUGUUUCUUCUGUAACAAAAUAAAAGAUUGAGUCCAGGU